AACGAACGCUAGCGGCAUGCCUAACACAUGCAAGUCGAACGAGAUCUUCGGGUCUAGUGGCGCACGGGUGCGUAACGCGUGGGAAUCUGCCCUUUGGUUCGGAAUAACAGUUGGAAACGACUGCUAAUACCGGAUGAUGACGAAAGUCCAAAGAUUUAUCGCCAGAGGAUGAGCCCGCGUAGGAUUAGCUAGUUGGUGUGGUAAAGGCGCACCAAGGCGACGAUCCUUAGCUGGUCUGAGAGGAUGAUCAGCCACACUGGGACUGAGACACGGCCCAGACUCCUACGGGAGGCAGCAGUGGGGAAUAUUGGACAAUGGGCGAAAGCCUGAUCCAGCAAUGCCGCGUGAGUGAUGAAGGCCUUAGGGAUGUAAAGCUCUUUUACCCGGGAUGAUAAUGACAGUACCGGGAGAAUAAGCUCCGGCUAACUCCGUGCCAGCAGCCGCCGUAA
rnacentral:rRNA from 1 species